ACUAGUGGCCGCCACUCUUGCAGUCUUAAUACUUGCCGUUGUCACUGACAAGUGAGCACUUUAAAUAGGCGCUGGGUGAAUUAGGUGCAGGUGUAGUAAUUACAGCUCAGGUGACUAUGAGCGAGGAAGUGCUGGGACCGGCGUGCCUGUGACAUCCACAGAUAUUACAAACUGGUCAGUAUAUACACUAGGUUGCUACAAAAGGUACUGUAAGUAUUGCAUACAACAAUGCAACAAUAACAAAACAAUGCAUUGACAUUUAUUUUUUUUGCUACUGAUACUUAAAUACUUUUAAAAACCAAGUACUUCUGUACUCUUACUUAAGUAAAAAUCUGUCUUUACAACUUUUUACUUGUAAUGGAGUAAUGUUUGACCAGUAGUAUCUGUACUUUCACUCAAGUAGGAAUGUUGUGUACUUUGUCCACCUCUGAUGUAAGAAGAAGAUGAGCCUGUAGUGGAGUUGUUUGGAGUUAGACCAGUACAGAGUAAGUAUUGUUCAGGGUUAAAGGCUGCUAUUACAGUCAACCCAGGGUAGUGCCGUGGGAAAGAGGUCUGGGAGCAGCAUUAUUGAUUGAUAGAAUAAAUGUGUUUGAAGAACAAUCUAGAAAAAACCCAGUGAAGCCGUGUGUGACUGCAGGAAAAAUUAAUGUGCAGUUGUCCUGGACACCUCUAAAUAGUAACCUAGGUCAUAGAAGUGAAGGGUGUGUCAUGAGCGGAGAAGAGACACCAACCACGCCCGUAGAGGUAAUUGUAUUAAAGCACACAGAAGCAGGCAAAGAGAUUAAAAAGUAUAUGAAAAAAUGGAAUGACCGGACAUGUGGGGAGUUGCAGUGGCCACUAGAGGGCACAUUUAAUAAUGAAAGGUGUGAAAAAAUGAAGGAAAGUGUGCUGUUUCUUAUGCACCGGCACCGUUUUCUUUCCUUUUUUUUUGGUUUAAUAAUAAUUGGCAGUAUAGUGACCUCUUGUGUUCAAAGUGGGUAUUACAUGUCACAUGUUAAGUCCUUAUAUGAUGACGUUGUAAAUGUGAGUCUAGUUUCAACAACCACAUGGAAAGGCCUGCAGUUGUAGCUAUUCGAUUUUAAGUUGAUUUGAAGGCACUUUCGUUUUGCAUCAUUCCGUGGGCAGCAGUAAAGCAGUUGAACCAUUUCCUGUGUCUGUUGUCCUUGGGAGGCCUGUCAAAUCAGCAAGGCAUUUGAUUUAAGGGCAGAACAGAAAGACUAGAAUGUUGGGGAGAGAUAAAGAAAGAAAGUAUGAAAAGACAGACAGGAAUAAAGAAAUUGUGAAAUGGUUCCAAGUGGAAGGAGAACGGCAGAGAGCACUCAGAGAUGAAACGAAAGAAAAGACCACAACCCCCCCUCUCUCGGAGCUUAAGGCACACAGGAUCUGAUGAGAAUCUGAUGUUUUUAGAUGUUUUGGUGGAAGAUGUUGCCCCACACACACACACACACAAAUUGCCCAAAACAUACCGGACACAACCCCCUUGACCCAUCUCUUACCCGGGAUCUCUGUAAAAAAAGGCAGACAUGCUGGCCAUCCAUUUUUGCCAUGCAUAGUGUUCGUUUUCAGUUCCAGUCCCUCUUAAAUUACAUGUCAACUUCCAGAUGUUUUAUUUACUCAAAAACUAUUAAUGCAUUUUCAUCCAAAUCAAAUCAAAUAAAUUAAGUUUUAUAGUUUGGUACCUGAGAAACCUGAGAUGGCAUAACUUGACAUAAAGCUAUAACUUCAACUAACACAUAAAGCUAUAACUUCUCUUGAAACAGUUAACGGAAAGAUGUUAUACAGUAGAUUUCUUGAGUUUUUAGGCUAUCAUGCAUUAAUUCAAAGAGAUAUUCUCUAUAAAAUUAUAAACUUUUUUUUUUUGUUGCUGUGUUCCAUCUUCUCUUACUCUGACCUGGUAAUAUAUGUACUUAUUUUAGCACCACUGAAGUAAUCUCAUGUGUGUAACUUUUAUUUUGGUACCAGAACUUUUCAAAUACACCUUGAGAAAACUCAAAUAGGACAGGUAAGCCAACAUGUGCCAACAUGGCACACUGGAGAGUCCUUACAUUCCUUACAUUCUUACCUCGCCUAAACAUUCCUCUACAAAAAAAAUCUCUAUAGCAUCUCUGAUACACAAUAGAUAAAUCAACUUUGAAAGGGUUAAUAGUGAGAAAUUAUGAAAUAAAUUUCUUGAGUUAGAAAUUAGAGUUUAGAGUUUAGGCUGAUUCUGCAUGAAUAGAAAAAAAUACUCCCUAAAAUUGUAACUUUUUGUCAGGCUGAAUAUUGUUUUUCUUACUCAGACCUGGUAAUAUGCAGCUCUGGGGAAAAAACAAGAGACCACUGCAAAAUAAUCUGUUUCUUAUGUUUUUUUCUUACAUAUUUCUUAAUUUUUUGUGAACUGCUGACAAUAUUUCUCCUAAAUUCAAAAUAUUACUAUUGUUAUUUAGAGUGUAUAUUUAAAGGAAAUGACAACACAUCAAAAUAACCCAAGAUCAUGCAGUAUUUGCAGAGCUUUAAUAACUCAAAUAAAACAAAAUGCAAAUAAUUUGUAAACAAAUUGUGUUAAUGCUUUGGCUAAAUAACAUUAAGAAAUCAGUAUUUGGUGGGAUCUGCAUGCAGUUUGGCUCCAUGCUCUCCACCAGUUUUUCACAUUGCUGUUGGGUAACUUUAUGCCACUCUUUUUGCAAAAAAAAGAAGCAAACAGCUCAGAUUUGCUUGAUGGUUUGUGACCAUCCAUCUUUCUCUAGAUGACAUUCCAGAGGUUUUCAAUAGGGUUCAAAUCUGGAGGGUUCAAAUUUUUUUUUGCAGAGCUGUAUAUAUCCUAUCUCACAUGUGUUACCUUUAUUUUGUUACCUGAAUUAUUCAAAUACACCUUGUAGUUAUUGAGAUAUACUCAUUUUAAAUGGAGCAUGUCUUUUUCAAGCAAGAGGCUCAAAAGUAGGCCUCGGUUUGAACAGGUUGGAGCAUCAUCUUGUUCUUUAAUGGCUACUGUUACAUGAUAUUACAAGACGUGAUAACGUCCAGUCUGGUUCAGAAUCCAUGGAAGCUUUUACUGGGAUUUCACCCAGUAUGAUGACUAAUAAUCUUAAAAAGAGUGCUGUCUGAUAUCACACCAUCUAAACCCGUUGUAUAUUACCGAAAUGGUCAUUUUCCCUCCAAAUUCAAAAUGUGAAUUCUAGACAGAUUUAUUGUUAGAUUUUAGGAAACAAUUGAACCAAACAAAUUGUGUUAGCAUUUAAAGUGUAAUAAAUUUUGUAAAGAAAUGUUUAAUAUAGACUUUUUAUAUUUUAAAUAAAACAACAGUAGAGAAAAAACAAUAUUUUUUGAAGUUAAGAAUAAAAGACAAAGCACUAUGAAGGGUUAAAGCUGUGAAGGGGCGGCCAGGUGUCUCAGCCUGGUGUGUAGUAUUUCAGCCCAGAUAGCAGGUAGGAGUGUGAAUUCCAGCACUCAGGGACUUCAGACAGGUAGCCAACAUACACUUCUAUUUCUAUAUUCUAUAAUUUUCUAUGUAAAACACACACACACACUGUAGCUACUGUACCUGAGGCUGAUUAGAGUGAAUUAAAAAGCUUCAUUAGUAUGUGUGUGUGUGUGUGUUUGCUCUAUGCUACAUCUUUAUUGGAUUCUGUUAGUUGUAGUUGUGUGACUUGUAUUUUUAAUCUGUGCUACACAGUCAUGUGAUUCACUUGUGGAAUUUUUGUGGCGUGAUAAAAAAAAAAGUGUGUGUGUGUCUUCGGCGGAAGUAUUCAGUAUUAUCAGGAGUGUGAAGUGAACAGCGUUGUGGGGUACAGCAGCAGCAAGAUGGGAAGCCAAGCUAGCCAAGAGGAUCAGCAGGAACAUGAGGAGAACACAUGCCAGGAAUGUGCAUGUACAGGGAGUGACAGCUGCUCCGGCUGCUCCUGCUGCAGCUGCUGCUUUGAGGAGUCAAUUAAUGGCUGUGGUGAUUGUUUGAUUGAUGUGAUACUUGACUGCAUUACAGAACUGUGCAAUUCGUGUUUGAACUGACUGACCCCCUGUCACCUCUCACCUACAUCAGUUGGACUCAAGUCUUGGAUAAUUAUCUCAAGGUUUCUUCCUCAUAUCAUCUCAGGAGGUUUUUUCUUUCCACUGUCACCUCAGGCUUGCCCAUUGGAGAUAAAUUGUAGGGAAAACCUAAUUACCUUAAACUUUAUAAUUUUUUCUAUGUAUCUAUAUUUUUGUAAAGCUGCUUAGAGACAAUGUCUAUUGUUAAAAGUGUUAUACAAAUAAAUUGAUUUGAAUUGAAUGAUUAGGACAAUUAGGACCUUUUCUGCUUGUUUGAUUGUUUGUUAAUUUGCUAGAAGAUGGACAGGUCCAGCUACAUCUGUUAAAGUUUAAAGAAUAUUAUUAGUAUUAAUAUUUAAUGAUAAACACUAGUCCUGCUAAAUGUUAAAUGGUGUUUACCCAGCUUCUGUGUGUGUGUGUAUGUGUGCUUGUGCGUGUACUGGCAGAGUUGAACAUUACUUUCGGUUCAGUAAAAAGCAUAGAAGCCUGACAGUGAAAAAAACGUUUUCAAGCCUGUGUUCUCCUCCACCAUGGACUUUGUGUUAAACUGCUCCAGGCUACAUAUGUAACCUGGGUUCCUAAGAAGGGAAUGAGAUGCUGCAUCAUGGCUGAUGCUAUAGGAACGUUUCUAUGUGAAAGUUGUGUCUGAAGCUCUGUGUAAAAUCACGCCUAUUUAUCGGCUCGGGUAGGUCAUGUAGCGGAGCGUGCCAGGAAGACCAUAAAAGGGCAUCUAUGUCACAUUGCUCCAGCUUCUACUGGUCUGAAGGAAGCAUGAGUGGAUGCCUAGCACAUGGCUAGCGAUGCAGCAUCUCGUUCCCAUCUCAGGGAACUGGGUUACAUACAUAACCUAGUGUAUCUCCCUUUCGAGGGGACUUGACACUGGUCCACUACCUUGCCAUGGUAAUGCCAAUACCAAUGCCACCACACACCGGGAGAUGUCUGUCCCAGAGGUUGUGAAAGAGCACAAACAAGCCAGCGGAUUGCUUUUGUUGCGGCCAGGUGAAGCAGACAAAAACAAAGAGGACUUGUGCCAUGUCCUCGAGCAAUAGGUGUAAGUCCUAAGACCCCAAACUGGUUACAGCAGGUGCAGCCUCUCUUGCUCCACCAACUCAUGGGGCAGAGGGUAGAAGGUCUGCAGAAUGGCAGGACAACUGGCUUUCCAGGGUCAGAAACUCCUCAGCGGUGAUUCCACUGGCUCAAAGGGGGCUUGAAGAAGCCCCUCCAGGACCACUUAGACACGGUCUGGAGGAAAGCCUCAGCCAUCUGGCACUGUGCAGAAGGCAAGAGUCCAGAGAAUAGGCGUGCGACUCACAGCAAUGGCUGCAAUGUAUACCUCAAUGUAAAGGGUUAAUAGGCCCUCAAAGUGGUGCUUAUGUAGGAAAUCUAGCACUGUACUAACAGGGCAAUAAACUAGAUCCUGACGAUGGUGAUUACACCAGAGAUAAAGUUAAAAAAAAUCUCCAUAACCUCAAUUGGGAGAACAGAGUCUAGGAGCUGGUCUCCCUCACGGGCCAGACCAGAGGUUCUAAAUCUCAGGACAGGGGUGGAGAAUUGUCCCCUGCACCCGAGAGAGGAGGCUCCUCCUGACAGGAAUCUACCAAGGAGCACCAUCCAGAAGGGAAAAGAGAAAGCCACAGGGCACAGGGGGUCGACUCCUCAGAGGCGAACUUAGCCACUUCUGCCCAGCCAAAAAUUGCUAUAUGCAUUCCAACCCCUAUGGGUGGAAAUGCCAUUCCCUGGGCCUCAGCCCCUCCAUCAGCAGGGAGCCUGAAUCCUGAUCAUAUGCUCUGGAGUGUAAAUCACUCUUAGCAACAUUUUUCAGUCUCCAUUCUCUACCUAAGGUCAGAUCUGGUGCACCAACAGAGGGUGCAAACACAGUCGGUCCUAAUGAUUGAUGAAGGGGACCUCCAAAGGUAGCCCCUUUCAGGAGAAAAUGUUUCUGCACUAGAAGCAUAGCCCCCAUCUUCAGGCAAUCUGUGUGCCAUGAAAGAAAAGAGCUCUCCUAAAUUCCAUGGGCAGGGCAGCCAUCUAGGACCUCUCCCCAACCCGAGAUGGGGGUGUCUGUAGAGAGUCCUCUGACAAGGACAUGCCCUAAGAUUGGGACCCAAGAUGAGAAACCGGGGUCUGUCCACAUAAGAAGGGUACGAAGCUUAUUACACAUAACCCUUGUGACCCUGAAAAGGGUGUCUGCGGGCGUGAGAACCCCUGCCCCUGAGCCUGAGAGGCAGAGAGACACUGGCCUAGUCAGAUUUUAAAGUCAGACUUUUACAGAAGAAAGGAUGGAACAGGAAACAGAAGUGCCUGCAUCGUGGCUGAAUUCCAAACUAUCCUCCAGUAGGUAGUUCUCAGACAGGGAGAAAACCUACACUUCACUGGGUUUAGGCCUAGGGACAUCACGUGGGCAAGUACGGCAUCUCAAUGCCUGGCUGCCACUUUCCUUGACUGAGCCAAGAUGAGCCAGUCAUCUGGAUAAUUGAGUACAUGAAUGCUCUGGGGUGCAGUGAUGCCAGAGCAGCCUCCUGGCAGGGUCUAACCCAGGAACACAGCAGCACAUAAGGAGCAGAAGCAUGGGUGGUCAUGGCUGAACCCCAAAGCACCAAAGGUGGCAGGGUAGGCAGCAGUGGAAAUGGACCUAAAGGGGCAACCCUGAAAACCCUAGUCCUCGGGCAUUAGGAUUCCUUUAUGGCCCACCUGGCGGAGAUGGUUGUCUCUUGUCUGGGGGACCUGCCCCUUAAGUGCUGGCCAGGAACCCAGAUUUUACAAAGGUGGCCUGCAAGCAUAUCUUCAACCCUAGGCAUCGCCAUAUGCCCAUCUUCAUUGAGGCCCUGAAAGGCCCACUAUGGCUACAGUCAGCAGUGGCUGAGGAGAACAAUCAGGCAGUAUAAGGAUUAUGCCAUAACCUCUACAACUCAUUGUGGAGGUAUGGAAAAAUGGGACACUCCUUGUUGCCCACAUCGAGCUCCUCAGAGUCCGAUGCAGAUAGCAUUAUAUCCUCAUCUUGGUUGGCAGAAAACGCAAAGCAAGCUCUUGAAGCCAAGACAGAGGUAUUAGAGUCAGCUGAGAGGAUGAAAGGGAUUCACGAAGCCAUGAAACCAUGUCUGAGCCACGCAGUGCAAGUGCUUGGCUGGAAAUUCAAGCAAGCGAAUGCAGAAUUAGCUUAGCAAGAGCUCUUGAAACUCAACAGCAUGAACGCCACUGAUUGCUUUUUCUCAAGAAGCAAUUCAUUGUCAUACCGCUCAUCAUCGCCCUCAUCAGCUCCUCUGAGUCUGAUUAAGACAAUAAUUCCUCAUUUGUGUCUGGAGAAACUGCAAAAUGAGCUCCCACAGCUGAGCAUCUGAGUCAGGAGAGUGGGCAAGAAAAAGGGGAUCAGCCAUCUUUUGUUCCACCUCCACAAAUUUGACCUGUGAGACCCAUGAUCUAAGUCAGUGUGCUGAAAAUUGUUUUAAUAGUUUGGUCACAUGGGGGAGGUGGGGAAAAAAAUACAAAUUAAAGUUUUUUUCAAAAAUACACAGCACAUAUGUCAGAAACAAUAAAAACCACAGUUGAAGAACUGAAAUAUUUGUUAUAUAAAAUAAGCUGCUUCAUGAAAAAAGAUGCUGGAAUGAAAAACUCACUUGAAAAUAAGAAAAAAGCUCUAAGCGUCUUUUUACGAGAACAGGCCAAAACAGCUUUUAUUUGAUCACGUUUCAUCCUUAUCAGAGACUUGGACAUCCCCAGCAGUUUUGUCUUUAAUUUCUCCAUGAAAACAACUCAUCAAAAUCAAAUGCUUCUCCUAAAAAUAAUGGAUGUGUAACAGUGUGUUGAUUGGGAAAUGUAAAUUUAAUAACUGAGUUUAAUUAGUAAUGAAUGAAUAAAUUAUUUUAUGAAUGGGCUAACUUAAAAUUUGUUAGACUUAAUUUUUUUGCCUUAAUAAAUGUUCAUAUUCACUGAACAGAAGUUCCUACAGAUUUUUGUAGGUGGGUCUUUAAUAAGUGGUACACCAUGGGAGUAAAUAUUGCUUCUGCUUUGAGUAUGCAUGUUCAGCAUCGUUAUGUGUGCAAACAAAAGGAUGAAACUAAAGCCUGCCCCCUUGCUUUUGUCAGCGAGGCUCUUACAAGUGCCAAAAGAAAUUACCCUGCUUACUGUUUAGAGUUCCUGGCUCUGAAGUAGUCUGUCUGUGACAAAUUCAGCCACUGGCCGAAAGGUCAUUCUUUUACUGUCUGGACAGACAACAACCUAUUAACAUACAUCUUAACAAAGCCUAAGCUUGAUGCAUGUUGUAGAGGUGUAGCAGAGGUGGCUAGCUCCAUAUAGUAUUAGUAUACAGUACAUUCCAGAGAGCAAAUAUGUGGCAGUUGCAAUGAGACGGUCAACCUUUGUUCAAGGACAUGUGAGUCAGAGGCUGGUGACAGAAACAUAUGUAGCCUUGUUGGAAGAAGAAAAUAAUUUUGGGGAAGAUGUGGUUCAACAUGCCUUCCACAUCAGCACCAGGUGCCAGGUGAUUUUCAUUCCCAGGUCAAGAGUUAAAUUCUUUCUCUCUUUCCUCAAAUGAAGUGUCACGCAGAAACAAGGAAGUACACAACCUGCUUCCAGCAGGUCACAGCACACUACUAGUAUAGUAUUUACACUGAAACAGCUUCAGGAUAAACAGUCAGAAGAUUCUGUGUUGGCCUGAGUUCUUUCCUGUGUCACUUAAAAAAACGUAAGAGGACAAAAGAAAUGCCCAAGAUCCUAAAGACCCUGAAACAGUGGGGAAAAAUGUAAGAUGUUAGGUGUUGUAUCGUGUGUGCCUACCUGCCAACAGGAAGGAAAAGGUGGCAAUACAUCAUCCUUGCCUACAACUGCACUGCUCAUGAGUCUACAGGUUAUGCACCCUUUUUCAGAAGAAGAGAAAGAAGAAGAAGUAAUAGCCUUUAUUUGUCACAUAUACAUUACAGCACAGUAAAAUUCUUUCUUCGCAUAUCCCAUCCUUAGAGGUUGGGGUCAGACCACAGGGUCUGCCAUGAAUCUGCACCCCUGGAGCAGAGAGGGCCCAACAGUGGCAACUUAGCAGUGCUGGGGCUUGAACCAGUCAACAACCCAGAGCCUCAACCACUUCAGCCACCACCACCCUAAUGUAUGGAAGAAUUCCUCGUCUGCUGAAAGACAUUAUGUUCCAUAGUGUUGAGAGAGAUGACAGAUUAUGGCAGUUACGUUGCGAAGAUGAGAGAUGAUCUCAGGGAGGCUCUCAAAAUUGGUCAGGCUAAUGCUAGUGCAAAUCAGCAAUGACAGGCUGAACUCUACAACAAGAGGACAAAGGUCUGUGAUAUUGACCAUGUGCUAGCUAGCCAAUACGAUUGAAAGAGGCAAAGAAUAUUGGCUGAUCAUUAGGAAUCAGUUGCUAUCUGGUAGUUUCAAAAGAUGUCAGAUGCCACACUUAUCAUGUCAAAAACACCAGCAAUGGUUAAUUAGACAAGUAAGCAUUAGCGUAAGUAUUCACCCCCUGUGUGUCAGUACUUUGGAUAUAAUUAUAUCUACAAAUUUCUGCAUCUGUUUCCUGAUAAUUUUUUUAAACUUUUUCCAAGCAAAAUUGUUCAAGCUCUGUCAGAACAGAAUUUUCAAUUCUUGUCAGUCAGAGUGAAUACUUUAUUUUAUUAUAUUUUUUGGGGAGGAGGGAAUACUUAUAUCUAAAUACUUCAUAUUUAUUAUCUGUUACUUAAUACUGUAUUUUACUGUGGAUUCCAUGGUAACAGACUAGACAAUUCUGCUAAAUAUAUGAAUCAUUUUCCAUGUGCUACUUUUUGUUUAUAUCCCAGCCCCUAAAGUUCACAGUGUGUUUAGUGUCACUAGAAUUCGCUGGUGUAUGUUGCCAUACAAACAGUAACUCAUUCAUUCUCUCAUCUGCACUUAGUGGUGUGUGUGUGUAUGUGUGUGUGUGUGUGUGAACGAGAUCUUGUUGGUGUGCUUGGCCUCUUUAGCUGUGAUUAAACGGCUGCGGCGUGUCCCCCCAUGGACCAAGGGCAAGCGUGUUGACCCCGAUCGUGUCGGAAGUUCAGGAGUUGAGCUGGAUUUGAGUCGGAGGCUUCGCAGUGACCCUCAGGCUGCUCUGACUGAGACCUAAUAACUAAUAACAGAUGUGUCUCUCAGUGUGAAGAUAGAGAUAUGAUGAGGUAGAUAUGUGUGUGGUUCCUUGUCUUUUUCUUGGUUUUAUUGCCGUGACAGUUUUACAUGCUGUAAUUAUCAAAGGGAAAUGCAAAAUUUCUUGUAAAAAUAUUACACUGAAAAUGUCUUCAAAUGUUAUUAAUUAAAGAAAUGUAUAUCUUUACAUAUAUAUGUAUAUAAAAGUUAUUUUUUAAGCAUAUUUCAGCUUGGUUUCAGCUACUGAGGAACACUCCAUCAGCCAAUCCAUCUUGUGGGAGAUACUCCAGGGAGCAUGGGGUGAAAUCUGAAAUCUCACCAGAUUAUCUUGAAAAAUUGACAGCUAGAAUGCCCAGGCUGUAAUUACUGCAAAAUGUGUUUGUUUGUUUUUUGAAGAAGAAGAAGGCAAAGUUUGAAGACAAAAUUCAUCAUUUCCAAAGUCUCAAAAUCAUUAUUUCUUACUCUGACAUAUCAGCAUGUCCUGUUCUGUUCUUUUGCUAUAUUUUCUAUUCAGACUAAUUUCGUGUGUGUUUCCUUGGAAAACAAUACUAUUUUUGAGUCAUCCCAAACUUUUGAGUGAUAUAUCCAUAAAAUCCAAAUGUCAUAUUGAUCCAUUCUACUGAUCCACAUCAUUUUCCUUUCAGGUAGAAAAAGUGGCUAAAUUAUAUGUUAGAAAUUUUAGAUUAUAAUGAAAUUCCUAUUUUAUA